rnacentral:rRNA from 1 species
UAAUACGGAGGAUCCAAGCGUUAUCCGGAUUUAUUGGGUUUAAAGGGUGCGUAGGCGGUUUAAUAAGUUAGAGGUGAAAUCCCGUGGCUCAACCACGGAACUGCCUCUGAUACUGUUAGACUAGAGAAUGGUUGCUGUGGGCGGAAUGUGUGGUGUAGCGGUGAAAUGCUUAGAGAUCACACAGAACACCGAUUGCGAAGGCAGCUCACAAAGCCAUAUCUGACGCUGAGGCACGAAAGCGUGGGGAGCAAACAGGAUUAGAUACCCUGGUAGUCCACGCCGUAAACGAUGAUAACUCGUUGCCGGCGAUAUAUUGUCGGUGACUUAGCGAAAGCGAUAAGUUAUCCACCUGGGGAGUACGUUCGCAAGAAUG